rnacentral:rRNA from 1 species
UACGGAGGAUCCGAGCGUUAUCCGGAUUUAUUGGGUUUAAAGGGUGCGUAGGCGGUUUGAUAAGUUAGAGGUGAAAUGUCGGGGCUCAACCCCGAAACUGCCUCUAAUACUGUUGGACUAGAGAAUAGUUGCGGUAGGCGGAAUGUAUGGUGUAGCGGUGAAAUGCUUAGAGAUUAUACAGAACACCGAUUGCGAAGGCAGCUUACCAAACUAUAUCUGACGUUGAGGCACGAAAGCGUGGGUAGCAAACAGG